UACGUAGGUGGCAAGCGUUGUCCGGAAUUACUGGGUGUAAAGGGCGAGUAGGCGGGAGUAGAAGUCAUGUGUGAAAGACCGUGAAAAGGGGACGGCAAUGCAUGUGAAACUAGACUUCUUGAGUACUGGAGAGGGAAGCGGAAUUCCUAGUGUAGCGGUGAAAUGCGUAGAUAUUAGGAGGAACACCAGUGGCGAAGGCGGCUUCCUGGACAGAAACUGACGCUGAGGCGCGAAAGCGUGGGGAG
rnacentral:rRNA from 1 species